rnacentral:misc_RNA from 1 species
GGUGAGCACAUAUUCAGAACCAUGCAAGAGAUCAAUCAAUCGACUCUCACUCAGUCCGUCUCGGCUGGGAACUCCAUGAGAACCACACUGACCAAUUGUAAAGCAGCUGAACAUCUUUUCCAAUGCUGAAGAGAGUUCUGUAUAGCUGCCAUGGGUUUUGAGAUCAACCUUCCUCAGAUAAGGAGCACCAUCCAUACUGACUUUAAUAUAUAGAAAUCCAGAUCCCAACUUGGCUUCUGCAUCAUCAUCAUUCUUUGGAGUGUGAGAAGCCAUUGUAUUCUUUCUGAAGGACCGAAUUGGUGGCCAUCCCACAACUUGUGCCUUAGAAGCAGCAGCAACUCCAUGGCCAUUAACUCCAAGAAUUUGAUUCUUCUUCUCCUGCGCGAUCGGUUUGGGGGACUGGGGCAACCCGUCUUUGCUAACCGGAACCGAAUCCGACCCAGUAAUCACUUUGCCAGCAUUAGCAGCUCUGGGAGAGAAAUCAGGCUCAGAUCCAGGACUGCCUGAGAAAACCCAGUUGGCAGAGCCACCGUGAAUGGCAACAGAAAAUCCCCUUUUGGCACCUAACACAAAGCUUUUAUUAUUGUUGUUGUUGCAGCAGCUGCUGCUGCUGCUGCUCCACCUGUUUCAAUCAUCUUUGCAAGUCUAGGAGCAGGUAAUGGCUUUGGCAUAGCCGGUGAAAAUAAAGAUUUGUGCAAGAGAAUACAGCUGAUCCUGAUAUUUUUACCCGAUUUCGCAUCGGAUGAUAUCACAUUCUGGUUCGUCAUUCCCUCUUUGAAAAGGCAGCAGAGAGAACUCAACACACACACUG